UUCGGGGUACUCGAGUGGCGAACGGGUGAGUAACACGUGGGUGAUCUGCCCUGCACUUUGGGAUAAGCCUGGGAAACUGGGUCUAAUACCGAAUAGGACCACGCGCUUCAUGGUGUGUGGUGGAAAGCUUUUGCGGUGUGGGAUGGGCCCGCGGCCUAUCAGCUUGUUGGUGGGGUAAUGGCCUACCAAGGCGACGACGGGUAGCCGGCCUGAGAGGGUGACCGGCCACACUGGGACUGAGAUACGGCCCAGACUCCUACGGGAGGCAGCAGUGGGGAAUAUUGCACAAUGGGCGCAAGCCUGAUGCAGCGACGCCGCGUGAGGGAUGACGGCCUUCGGGUUGUAAACCUCUUUCAAUAGGGACGAAGCGNGAGUGACGGUACCUAUAGAAGAAGCACCGGCCAACUACGUGCCAGCAGCCGCGGUAAUACGUAGGGUGCGAGCGUUGUCCGGAAUUACUGGGCGUAAAGAGCUCGUAGGUGGUUUGUCGCGUUGUUCGUGAAAACUCACAGCUUAACUGUGGGCGUGCGGGCGAUACGGGCAGACUAGAGUACUGCAGGGGAGACUGGAAUUCCUGGUGUAGCGGUGGAAUGCGCAGAUAUCAGGAGGAACACCGGUGGCGAAGGCGGGUCUCUGGGCAGUAACUGACGCUGAGGAGCGAAAGCGUGGGGAGCGAACAGGAUUAGAUACCCUGGUAGUCCACGCCGUAAACGGUGGGUACUAGGUGUGGGUUCCUUCCUUGGGAUCCGUGCCGUAGCUAACGCAUUAAGUACCCCGCCUGGGGAGUACGGCCGCAAGGCUAAAACUCAAAGGAAUUGACGGGGGCCCGCACAAGCGGCGGAGCAUGUGGAUUAAUUCGAUGCAACGCGAAGAACCUUACCUGGGUUUGACAUGCACAGGACGCCGGCAGAGAUGUCGGUUCCCUUGUGGCCUGUGUGCAGGUGGUGCAUGGCUGUCGUCAGCUCGUGUCGUGAGAUGUUGGGUUAAGUCCCGCAACGAGCGCAACCCUUGUCCUAUGUUGCCAGCGGGUUAUGCCGGGGACUCGUAGGAGACUGCCGGGGUCAACUCGGAGGAAGGUGGGGAUGACGUCAAGUCAUCAUGCCCCUUAUGUCCAGGGCUUCACACAUGCUACAAUGGCCGGUACAAAGGGCUGCGAUGCCGUGAGGUGGAGCGAAUCCUUUCAAAGCCGGUCUCAGUUCGGAUCGGGGUCUGCAACUCGACCCCGUGAAGUCGGAGUCGCUAGUAAUCGCAGAUCAGCAACGCUGCGGUGAAUACGUUCCCGGGCCUUGUACACACCGCCCGUCACGUCAUGAAAGUCGGUAACACCCGAAGCC
rnacentral:rRNA from 1 species